AGUGAACGCUGGCGGCAGGCCUAACACAUGCAAGUCGAGCGGCAGCGGGCUGUAGCAAUACAGUGCCGGCGAGCGGCGGACGGGUGAGGAAUACAUCGGAAUCUACCUUGUCGUGGGGGAUAACGUAGGGAAACUUACGCUAAUACCGCAUACGAACUACGGUUGAAAGCGGAGGACCGCAAGGCUUCGCGCGAUUGGAUGAGCCGAUGUCGGAUUAGCUAGUUGGCGGGGUAAUGGCCCACCAAGGCGACGAUCCGUAGCUGGUCUGAGAGGAUGAUCAGCCACACUGGAACUGAGACACGGUCCAGACUCCUACGGAGGCAGCAGUGGGAAUAUUGGACAAUGGGCGAAAGCCUGACGCAGCGACGCCGCGUGGGUGAUGAAGGCC
rnacentral:rRNA from 1 species